rnacentral:rRNA from 1 species
AUAUGCUGGAGGAAGGUGGGGAUGACGUCAAGUCCUCAUGGCCCUUAUGGGUUGGGCUACACACGUGCUACAAUGGCGGCGACAGAGGGCAGCGACCCCGCGAGGGUGAGCUAAUCUCCAAAAGCCGUCUCAGUUCGGAUUGUUCUCUGCAACUCGAGAGCAUGAAGGUGGAAUCGCUAGUAAUCGCAGAACAGCAUGCUGCGGUGAAUACGUUCCCGGGCCUUGUACACACCGCCCGUCACAUCAUGGGAGUUGGCUUUACCCGAAGGUGGUGCGCUAACCUAGCAAUAGGAGGCAGCCAACCACGGUAAGGUCAGCGACUGGGAUGAAGUCGGAACAAGGUAGCCCUAGGGGAACCUGGGGCUGGA